UAAAAAAAUUAGUUUUAACUUCAUGAUUUAAUAUUAAUGACAUUAUACAUUAUUAUAAGAUGUUUUUCUUAAUGCUGCGUGCGUGCCUUUGAUGCGCGUGCGCGUGAACAUUCAAAUCACAGGAGCGCGCGAGCAGUUUGAAUUGAAACAGGAAGCGUCGUGCCGUCGUCAACUGACAAACACCAACUAGCGUCUCUCGCUGUUGUCACUGCGUUCAGAAAUGAUUUUGGGUCUUCGAAAAAGUCCGUUAGCAUCUCAAUCGUUUUCAGAAGAGGCUAGCAGCUAAGUUAGCUAAGAUCAUGUUGAUGUCCUAAGUUACUGCACCCCCUGUCCAAGACAAUCUCCACGGCUAUGAACUCGACUAGUGUGUUUUGAAAUAAGUUGUCCAAUGAGACAUCGUACUGUCCAACUCAAAGUAGAGCCCUGCGCAGGACUAUUUUCCUCACCCCGCCGAAUCUCUGACCAUUACCGCCCGCUCCCGCAACGGAUGUUACACUCCCGUGGGACCCGGCGGUACUCAAUCCCAAUGCAGCCCUCUACCAAGCACAAAGCUAACUUUUGUAAAUUGCACAAAGCACAACAGGAGGGAUCAUGAAAUUUGAUUCUGCAGCCACAGAGAAGUAAAUCAAGAUGCAUGUUUCUGAGCACCUCAAGCACGCGCCGCAAAGAUUGGAGGUAGAGGAUUCACAACUCCCUGAUGAGCCAAGACGAGAGGACUUGAAUUAUAAAUUAAAUUACAAUCUAGUUAUUUGUUCAUAAUUGUGCUUUACUGUGGCCCUUCAAUGACAAUCUAAUUAUUUGUUCAUAAUUAAAUUAACUUACAAUUUUACACUACAGUGUUUAACACCUGUUAUAGAUGUGUAAAGGCAUGAAUUAAUCAUUUGCACUUUCUGCAUAAAGUGUGAACUAUUCAUCACUUGUAAAUGUCUUACACUACAUUCAUAGAGAUCUACUAACUAAUUAUUUGUUCAUAAUUGUGCUAGAUAUAUUUGGUGCCCUUCAAUUGCAAUCUAAUUAUUUGUUCAUAAUUAAAUUACAAUCUAAUUAUUUGUACAUAAUUGUGCUUGAUAUGUCCAGUGCCCUUCUGAUGCUAUUCAUGGCAAUUUAUUUUUGAAUAAAGAUUAAAAUGGUGA